GAGGCGUGGUCGAACGUCGACUUCAACGGCGCGACGGAGGCUGAGUUCGAACGUCGAGAUCGACGGUCGGCGGACUGCGAACCUGAUGAACGAGGAAGCNGAGGGCGAGAUCGAACGAGAUAGAAGCGAGAGUGCGAGAAAGAAGAUGAACAGUGCAAAAUCAAGAUGAACAGUGAGUGAAUGUUUUAAAAAACCUAAUCUGAUGCAUCCUUAAAACGUAGUCGUUUUCUGUUUUCGAUUUUUUUUUCAAACUCG
rnacentral:lncRNA from 1 species